UGGGGAAUUUUGGACAAUGGGCGCAAGCCUGAUCCAGCCAUUCCGCGUGCAGGAUGAAGGCCCUCGGGUUGUAAACUGCUUUUGUACGGAACGAAAAGGCUUUCUCUAAUACAGAGGGCUCAUGACGGUACCGUAAGAAUAAGCGCCGGCUAACUACGUGCCAGCAGCCGCGGUAAUACGUAGGGUGCAAGCGUUAAUCGGAAUUACUGGGCGUAAAGCGUGCGCAGGCGGUGAUGUAAGACAGUUGUGAAAUCCCCGGGCUCAACCUGGGAACUGCAUCUGUGACUGCAUUGCUGGGGUGCGGCAGAGGGGGAUGGAAUUCCGCGUGUAGCAGUGAAAUGCGUAGAUAUGCGGAGGAACACCGAUGGCGAAGGCAAUCCCCUGGACCUGUACUAACGCUCAUGCACGAAAGCGUGGGGAGCAAACA
rnacentral:rRNA from 1 species